rnacentral:lncRNA from 1 species
UCUCAGAAAGAAGAGCACGGUCCUGGAGCCCAUGCCCUGCACCCCCGCGCGCCCGGCCCACGCCAGGUCCCACCAACAGGGGCGCGCGGGGGCGCACGCCGAGGGAGAGCCUCAGAGUCUGAGGAGCAAGAAUAGGACAGAAAAAGCAAUUCAGAGCAAGGCCCUGGAUUUCCCAAAUGUGCGGGAAAGUCAGCAUUUAUGGAUCCAAAAGGCUCAACCACCCCAAACCGGGAUCGAUAUGGAGAAAACCACUCCCAGGC